GAAGGGAGCAGGCAUCAUAGAUGGUAUUACAGGCGGCUGGUCUCUCCUCUCUCAGCCAACUAUGAGAACUAUUUGGGAUUGAAGGAGAUAAGCUACAGCAAGUCGUUACUUGUCCUGAAUGCACGACCUUCUUUCUUUGAGCAAGAGGACAAACCUGGGUAGGGAUCUCUAUGAUGUUUUCUGCGUUGCCCGUGGACGUUCAUCUUUCUGAUUUGUUAGCUGAAGAUGAGGAUCUGGAGCAGGAGCUCGGAGUGCCAUUGUUCCAUGGGCAGAUGUGCAGCAGAGAUUAGCAUUAGGAAGACAAGCAGGGCCUUCAGUAGGCAUAAGGUGAUGAGGUUCAUGCCGUUGGAUCCCACGGGUGCCCUGGGGAAGAGAUGGUUGGGAAGUCUGAGAGGAAGCAGGAGAGCUUUCGGAGCACAUGGAUGCCGUCCAGAAUGGAGAUGGUUGUGGCUCGGAAGAAAAAGAAAUCACCCAGCUCGGAGUCAGGAUACAUUUGGAGGUCCAGGCCGCCGAGUUUGCUGGUGGGGAAGAUAGGCACCAGAAAGGAAAGAGGACAUCCAGGGCAAUUUCUUCUGCCCCCCAGCCAAUCCGUACAUUGUCCAGAGGCCAAGCCUACUGCUGUUAGAAAACAUAUUUAGAAAUCACUUGGUUCUUCCUUGCCUGAACAUCAUCUAUUUAGUUAGCUUGUGUUGUUUAGAUGUGCUUCAGAUCUCAAAAAAAUAAAUUAUGUUAUUUGAAAGCUUG
rnacentral:lncRNA from 1 species